UGGGGAAUAUUGGACAAUGGGCGGAAGCCUGAUCCAGCAACGCCGCGUGAGGGAUGACGGCCUUCGGGUUGUAAACCUCUUUCAGUACCGACGAAGCGAAAGUGACGGUAGGUACAGAAGAAGGACCGGCCAACUACGUGCCAGCAGCCGCGGUAAUACGUAGGGUCCGAGCGUUGUCCGGAAUUAUUGGGCGUAAAGGGCUCGUAGGCGGUUUGUCGCGUCGGGAGUGAAAACAGCGGGCUUAACUCGUUGCUUGCUUUCGAUACGGGCAGACUAGAGGUAUGCAGGGGAGAAUGGAAUUCCUGGUGUAGCGGUGAAAUGCGCAGUAUCAGGAGGAACACCGGUGGCGAAGGCGGUUCUCUGGGCAUUACCUGACGCUGAGGAGCGAAAGUGUGGGGAGCGAACAGGAUUAGAUACCCUGGUAGUCCACACCGUAAACGUUGGGCGCUAGGUGUGGGGUCCUUUCCACGGAUUCCGUGCCGUAGCUAACGCAUUAAGCGCCCCGCCUGGGGAGUACGG
rnacentral:rRNA from 1 species